rnacentral:rRNA from 1 species
AGAAGAAGACACCGGCUAACUACCGUGCCAGCAGCCGCGGUAAGUACGGAGGGGUGCGAGCGUUAAUCGGAAUUACUGGGCGUAAAGACGCAUGCACGGCGGCCUCGUUAAGUACAGAUGUGAAAGACCCGGGGCGUUAACCUACGGAAGUUAGCAUUUGAAACUAGGCAGGCGUAGAGUCUUGUAGAGGGGGGUAGGAAGUUUCUAGGUGUAGCGGUGAAAUAGCGUAGAGAUCUGAAGGAAUACCAGUGGCGAAGGCGGCCCCCUCGGACAAAGACUGACGCUCAGAUGCGAAAGCGUGGGGAGCAAACAGGAUUAGAUACCCCUGGUAG